ACACGACACACAUCGGGUUAGUGAAAACUCUCCAACUGGCGCUACACUUUCUUUAGUGCGUUGUGUGUCGCGGAGGUUCUUUGGCUGUGUCGCUUGUGCUCGCCAGCACCACAAAAUGGCUUCCUGUGUGCAGACGGGCCUACUGACUGCAGUAUGCGGCGAGAACUGGAGGAAUGUGACUACAAACGCUUGAGAUGCAAGUGGACUUGAAGUUUCUCUGAAUCUCUUGCAGAGGAAGCAUGUGGUGAUCCUUGCAACUCUGAAGCCCUCACACCAGGUUGUUUUGAUGGCCUUUUGAAAGCUUCACAGAUAUGUCCACUUGGCUGGUGCAUCUGUUUAAUAGCAGAGGAGGUAAAUGAGUCUGCUUGGCUUGUACAAAUGCAUCUUUAGGAGGUCUCAUGCACACAUGUGUGAGAUUUUGGUUUCUUCACCCAAAUUCGGGAAGCAUUGCAUCUGUUUUAAACACACAACUUCAUUUACCCAAGACUUGCCUGUAACCCGUGGUCUUUGAAGAACAUACGAGAGAGCAGCACUAGGUUGAGCUGAAUAAUAAACACAUGUUCAUAUUGUGCAUGCCAAGUUUUGCUUGGUGGGUUUGUACCAACUAAUAAAUCCAAAAACCAUGA